rnacentral:lncRNA from 1 species
UGUCAAGUAUAGCUAUAGCGCUUAUUAGCGUCUUUUGUAGCUAUAGAGCUUAUUAGCUUCUUUUAACCAGAAUUGGCUAUUACCAAUCUGUUGCCGAUGAGUCAACUUAAUUUUUAACUCAAUGAACCAUUUAUCACUCAGAUUAACUUCAUUAUGAUACUGGUUCAUGUAACCACUCAGAGUACUUUUCUGAGAGAGUAAUAAUACUCCCUUCAUCCCUGGCUAAGAAUGAAGUUGGUUGCAAUUUAUUGCAAUAUAGCAAUUUGCUAUUAGGGCUAUUCCUCCAAACGGAAUGCCAAAUGUGGGAAGUGCUUCCUCACUGCGUCCCGUAGGAUUAUUCCCAGUAUU